rnacentral:rRNA from 1 species
GACGGAGGAUGCAAGCGUUAUCCGGAAUUAUUGGGCGUAAAGCGUCCGCAGGUGGACAUACAAGUCUGCUGUCAAAGUGCAGAGCUUAACUCUGUAAAGGCGGUGGAAACUGUAGGUCUUGAGUAUGGUAGGGGUAGAGGGAAUUCCCGGUGUAGCGGUGAAAUGCGUAGAUAUCGGGAAGAACACCAGUGGCGAAAGCGCUCUACGGGGCCAUAACUGACACUGAGGGACGAAAGCUAGGGGAGCGAAAGGG